UAGGUCGUCGGACAAUCAUGUGGGAGGC
rnacentral:sRNA from 1 species